GUGAAAGAGAUCUUGGUUUUGCCUUUGCUGACUGCUGAUCUGAUCGUCUCAAGUCUGGUGACCUGUUGCAGAAGAUCCUCUCUCUCUAUCAUUAUAAGCAAUUCUGUCUAUCCUAUCACUCUCCCGACUCUAUCUAAUUUGACAGCCAUUCUAUCUUGUAUCCCUCUAUCCCUACUGCUCUAUCUAAUUGAC